UCCUUCCCCGGGUCCCCCUUCCUUGCAAGCCUUUGCUGCCACGCCCCCCUGCCUGCUAUUGUGCAAGAAUAGGACUAGGGCGAACGUUUGGAGCAGCUUCAAGAUCCUCUGGGAAUUUUAAAAAGAUGGAAGAUGGAGAAAAGGGCAGAGACUGAAAUAAAAGAAAAUGAGCAAGGCAAGAAGAAAAGGAAUGGAGACAAAAACACAGUGGGAAGGGGAUUCAAAAGAAAGAAAGAAAGAAAAAACAGAAAUGGAGACUGUACACCGCCCAGAGCCCUCUGGAGGUGGGCGGUAUAAAAGUCGAAUGAAUGAAUGAAUGAAUGAAUGAAUGAAUGAAUGAAUGAAUGAAUGAAUGAAUGAAUGAAUGAAUGGAUAAAUAAAACAUGGCCAUCCCAAAAUGAUGCCUCGCUUGCAAUCUGAAGUGGUACAAUCCAGUCCACCACCUCUUUGACACUUGUAUGAAUCCUGAAAGUACCUCUGUUGAUUUAAGAGGAAUCAAUAGGAAGGAACAAAAGAUCCCCGUUGGAGAUCAAUUCAGAUCUGCCAUGGAUCUAGAGGACGGGAAAAGAAAAAUCAAAAGGAAGUUCUUGGUUGAAACAGAAAUUGAGACUCACCCUUAACUCUGAUAUUCUAGAAGGUACCAGUAUGUCAAUGAGGUCAUGGUUAUCUCUUAGGUGAAUAGCCAAAGGAGGUUCCUGAAUCCCAAACCUACUUUUUAAAAAACAGGUAACUUGCUGCUGACAGUGGUCUUUGUUACCAGAACUGAGGGUGUCGUAUCGCAACCCUUCCAGGCCAUUUUAAUUUUGCUGGGCAGACCCACGCACCUGUAGCUUCCCAACUUGACAGCUGCAAGGCUAUGAAGGCUUUAAAGGUAAGCACUGACAUCUUGAGCUGAACCCAGGAACUGAUGUGCAGCCAACAGAGCUAUCUUAAGAUAGCUGAAAUACAUCAGUAAUGACUCACUCCUGACAACAAGCAAGCUGCCACUUUUCGACUAGCUGCAGUUUCUGGGUUCAGCUCAGGUCAUAUUCAAGGGCAGCCCCAUGAAGAGGCUGUUAUAGUAGUCUAGUCUCAAGUUUACCAUGGCAUGGAUCUAUGUGGCCAGGGUUUCCGAAUCCAAGAAGGGAGCUGGUUUUUGAAAUGGGAAAAGCUGGAAAAGCACACACACACCGCUACCAUUUUUCCAAGAGCAGAGUCAGAGACCCCCACCCCAACUGCUCCUCCGCCUGGUCCUCUUUGCUGCUCCCCCAGCUGCUUUUUAUAGUUGGUGGGGUUGGGGCAGUGCCCAGUCAGCCACCAACAGCAGGACUUCCUUCCCAGUCUGGUCAGGUAAAGUGGCUCUGCCUGGAGUGUUCCUCUGUGAUUACGCAACCUUCUCUUGUUCCUAUAAACUGACGACUGUCUUCUCCAAGAAAUAUACCUACCUGGCUGACCUGACAGGGCAGGCCACCACAGCUACAUUGCAAUAUUUUAAUAAACACAUGCUGACUGUU